CGUGUAGGCGGGAGGACAAGUCAGAUGUGAAAUUCCAUGGCUCAACUGUGGGACUGCAUCUGAAACUGUUUUUCUUGAGUACUGGAGAGGAAAGUGGAAUUCCUAGUGUAGCGGUGAAAUGCGUAGAUAUUAGGAGGAACACCAGUGGCGAAGGCGACUUUCUGGACAGUAACUGACGCUGAGGCGCGAAAGCGUGGGGAGCAAACAG
rnacentral:rRNA from 1 species